UACGAAGGUCCCGAGCGUUGUUCGGAAUCACUGGGCGUAAAGGGAGCGUAGGCGGCGCGGUAAGUCAGAUGUGAAAUCCCGGGGCUCAACCCCGGAACUGCAUCCGAUACUGCCGUGCUAGAGGAUUGGAGAGGUAGCUGGAAUUCUUGGUGUAGCAGUGAAAUGCGUGGAGAUCAAGAGGAACACUCGUGGCGAAAGCGGCUUCCUGGCCUGUUCUUGACGCUGAGGCGCGAAGGCUAGGGUAGCAAACGGG
rnacentral:rRNA from 1 species